AUUGAACGCUGGCGGCAGGCCUAACACAUGCAAGUCGAGCGAGCGGCGGACGGGUGAGUAAUGUAUGGGGACUGCCCGAUGGAGGGGGAUAACUACUGGAAACGGUUGCUAAUACCGCGUACCGUCGGAUAACCCAUAUGGGAUUAGCUAGUAGGUAAGGUAAUGGCUGACCUAGGCUACGAUCCCUAGCUGGUCUGAGAGGAUGAUCAGCCACACUGGGAGUGAGACACGGUCCAGACUCCUACGGAGGCAGAAGUGGGGAAUAUUGCACAAUGGGCGCAAGCCUGAUGCAGCCAGGCGGCGGGUAUGAAGAAGGCCCUCGGGUUGUAAAGUACUUUCAGUCGGGAGGCGUUACCGACAGAAGAAGCACCGGCUAACUCCGUGCCAGCAGCCGCGGUAAUAC
rnacentral:rRNA from 1 species